UGAGCCAAGUUUAGGGUUUUCUCAAAACCCAAGCAGUAUUGAACUGAAGAGUUUGAUCAUGGCUCAGAUUGAACGCUGGCGGCAGGCCUAACACAUGCAAGUCGAGCGGAUGAAGGGRGCUUGCUCCUGGAUUCAGCGGCGGACGGGUGAGUAAUGCCUAGGAAUCUGCCUGGUAGUGGGGGAUAACGUCCGGAAACGGGCGCUAAU
rnacentral:rRNA from 1 species